UGGCCUCAGAGUGGAUUUCCUGUGAUUGCCACCAUUAUUAGCACUGACUUUUCCUUGAAAAACGGGCGCCCCGUGGCCAUGGGCCGACCUGGGCAGUUUCUGCAGGGGUGAGCGUAGAGUUUUGGGUCGCGGGUUACCACCUACUUUCCGGCUCCAGGUCUUAGUCUAAGAGGGAGUGUCUGCUCAUGAAGAGGCAAAGCGCCAAGAGCUGCCAAAAAGCCUUGCAUGGGCCAUCUGAGCGAUGUGCUGAGUCGGCUUGUUAAAAAGGACAGGCAAAGCCUGCGGGGUGGAGCGGCUUUCUCGGCCUGAGCACGUCUUGGUUGAGCCAGAGGGAGGGACCAGAUGGAGAAGGUGUUUUUGAUGGAAAACUCACUGUGGUGUCUGCCUGAUUGAUCUUGAAUGAUGGCAAGUGGGCACUUAUCAGGUAACUGGAACCACAAAAACUGAAACAGUGGAUAAGAGAGACACUCCUGUACCAAAGAAAAAAAAGAGUGUUGGAGCUGGGAUUGCUUUACUGCACAAAAUAUACUUCAAAACAAGGAAACUACCAGAGUUAAAAAUAGAGUGUUCAAUAACACAGUUGAAUGACUGAGUUAGACUGCAUAACUGACACACAAAACAACGUAAAUAUAAAUGAAGAAAUCUCUGGGUAUAAUCUGGUGCAAAGGUGACUGUGUUAAUCACUAAUCCACAAAUUGCUAUCCUGAAGUGUGCCAAAUGCUUUAUGUUUAUUUUGUUACAUAGCUCUAUAAAGAAAGGAUUUUUAAUCCCAUUCUACAGAAGUGGAAAGUGAGUCUUAAGACUCAAAAAACUUUAAAAACUAUAAGGAAGUAACAACUUUUACUAAUUCCUUUUGUGUUUUUCCAGAAUCUCUCUCUCUAUAGGAAUGUGAUAUGAAUCUAUAUGUGAAUUGAUUCUACAUGAAUAUUGAUGACUUUUAUUCCCCCUUUUGCACAUAAGAUAGAAUAUUUUACAUACUAUUCUACACUUUGCUUUUCUUAACGUAUCAUGGGAUCUUUUUAUAUAAGUGAACAAAGAGUUUCUUCAUUCUGUCACACAGUUUCAUAGUAUUCCUUUAUAUGAUUAUGUAAUCAUUUAAUUAAAAACUCUUUUUUGAUGGGUGUUUGGAUUAUCUCUAAUAUUUUGCUGUUACAAACAACAAUAUGACUUCUGCUUCCAAUUAAAAUAUAGAAUGCAAAAUACCAUUAUUCAUAUGAUAACAAUAACAAAAAACCCUGAAAAAAUAAAAAUCAUACUUAUUUGUGGCAAUUACCAAAGAACAGUGGAGAGGGUAAGCUUUGAUGAGCUGAAUUACUGGGCAUGACGGUGAGCAGAGAGCCCACAGCUUCUUUCACACUUGAGGGAAAGUACCUGAUUUCUAUGUGGGAAGGUGGAGAAGCAGGGCUCUAUCA